rnacentral:rRNA from 1 species
GACGAACGCUGGUGGCGUGCUUAACACAUGCAAGUCGAGCGAUGAAGCUUUUUCGGAAGUGGAUUAGCGGCGGACGGGUGAGUAACACGUGGGUAACCUGCCUCAUAGAGGGGAAUAGCCUUCCGAAAGGAAGAUUAAUACCGCAUAAGAUUGUAAUAUCGCAUGAUAUAGCAAUUAAAGGAGUAAUCCGCUAUGAGAUGGACCCGCGUCGCAUUAGCUAGUUGGUGAGGUAACGGCUCACCAAGGCGACGAUGCGUAGCCGACCUGAGAGGGUGAUCGGCCACAUUGGGACUGAGACACGGCCCAGACUCCUACGGGAGGCAGCAGUGGGGAAUAUUGCACAAUGGGGGAAACCCUGAUGCAGCAACGCCGCGUGAGUGAUGACGGUCUUCGGAUUGUAAAGCUCUGUCUUUAGGGACGAUAAUGACGGUACCUAAGGAGGAAGCCACGGCUAACUACGUGCCAGCCGCCGCGGUAA